AAUCUAUUGUGCUCGGACGACGCGCGGCGU
rnacentral:sRNA from 1 species